rnacentral:rRNA from 1 species
GCUCAACCGGGGAGGGUCAUUGGAAACUGGGGAACUUGAGUGCAGAAGAGGAGAGUGGAAUUCCACGUGUAGCGGUGAAAUGCGUAGAGAUGUGGAGGAACACUAGUGGCGAAGGCGACUCUCUGGUCUGUAACUGACGCUGAGGAGCGAAAGCGUGGGGAGCGAACAGGAUUAGAUACCCUGGUAGUCCACGCCGUAAACGAUGAGUGCUAAGUGUUAGGGGGUUUCCGCCCCUUAGUGCUGCAGCUAACGCAUUAAGCACUCCGCCUGGGGAGUACGGUCGCAAGACUGAAACUCAAAGGAAUUGACGGGGGCCCGCACAAGCGGUGGAGCAUGUGGUUUAAUUCGAAGCAACGCGAAGAACCUUACCAGGUCUUGACAUCCUCUGACAAUCCUAGAGAUAGGACGUCCCCUUCGGGGGCAGAGUGACAGGUGGUGCAUGGUUGUCGUCAGCUCGUGUCGUGAGAUGUUGGGUUAAGUCCCGCAACGAGCGCAACCCUUGAUCUUAGUUGCCAGCAUUCAGUUGGGCACUCUAAGGUGACUGCCGGUGACAAACCGGAGGAAGGUGGGGAUGACGUCAAAUCAUCAUGCCCCUUAUGACCUGGGCUACACACGUGCUACAAUGGACAGAACAAAG